GUUCUUUCUCCUUUACAAAGAGGUUGCAGACGCGCCUGUCCCUGAGCUUGUGGAGAGUCAUAAUUCCAAAUACGGCAGCACCAAAUGCGAGCAGCAGCACAACUCCAUAUGAUCUUCCAGUGUUUUGACUGUGCAGGUCACACUUGCGGAAUUACAUUGGAUAUAUUAUAUCCUCCUCAGGUCUCGUACGUGGGAUUAUACUAGAUGUGUUGUUGUGGAAUUGGCUAGAUUUUCCUAUUUGAAACCACGCAAAGCAGUUAUUUUUACUCCGCACAAAGUCUCGUCUCUCCAAGAUGUGAAAGAGUGAAAAGAUGGAAAAACUAUAAUUUUCUAAUUAUUUAUUUGAUGUGCACGUAAGAAGCUGGAUAUAAUAAUCAUGUUUCGAUCUUAAACAAGUUGUCGAAUAUUUAUGUCCGUUGCAUAACAUGUAUCUUUGAGACAUACAAUAUGCUUAAUACAUCGACCAUCUCUUAAA